rnacentral:tRNA from 1 species
GGGUAUAUAGCUCAGUGGUAGAGUGCCUGCCUAGCAUGCAUGAAGUCCUGGGUUCAAUCCCCAAUACCUCCA